CACAUUCAUUCACACACUCUUCCCACGUUAACCCCCAACUCCCACCAACACAAACAAUCAUGACCGAACACGACAAACCCAAAUCCUCCUCCGGCCACCCUCCUCAGCCACCGUCGCAAUCUCAACCUUUCCCAGUUCCACCUCCUCAGUACGGUACUUUCCAAGGUGUCUCCAAUUUCCCACCACCUAAUCCUGGCCCUUACCCCACCGUCGGUUUCCCUCACCCCGUUCCCCCUCCUGGCUCCGACCCCUCCGCUCCUCCUCCUCCCUAUUACCCUCAUGGCU
rnacentral:lncRNA from 1 species